AAACAAAUAAACCCCGAGUGGCAGCCUGAGACGCAGGAGCGGUGGAGGGUGGAGAGAGAGGCCGAGGAGGCGCGUGUGAAAGCUCCGCCCCCAAGAUAACUCCGCCUCGGACCCUGGCCAGUGGGGACCCGGCAGUCCGGGUCCCCGCUUCUGGUCUGGGAUUCUAGACUCAAUUAUGGUGGUGUGUCCGGAUCGGCAGGACCGGGGUUCGGUCUCCGCAGCCCCUGCCCCGUGCGUACCCCAUUUUACAUCUGAUUCCAGCUCCAGACGGCUUGGCUGGCAGCUCUGGAAGGAGGAGCGUGCGGCGGCAGAGUCUGGGGCUCCGGUGAAUGCGGGGAAUGGAAGGACCGGCUCCCAGGAGCUAUCCUGCUGCUUAAUCCGAGCCAUUACCCUAAGGGGCUGCAGACACCCGGGAACCCACUGCUCCGGGAAAGGUGGAAAUGUGUCUGUAAAAGUUUAAUUGGCAAACAGGUAGUAAGUAAGGCCGGUGUGGCUGUUAUUUCAGAAGAAAAUAUAACAGAAUCUGUUCAAAACAAAACAAGGAAGGUGGUUUUUGAAAAUAAUAUGUAUUUUAUGCAUAUGUACUAUACACACAACCAAAUUUGUUUUUUAUUAAAUUUUUGUAGUUCAAGUAAUGUCAGAACUUUAAAGUUGUGCUGCUAUUAAGACAGACGAAAAAUAAAACUUGAACCUUGUUCAGAAUGUUAAACCUAGACACCCUCAUUCACUGGCAAAGUUGCUUGAAAACAGCCUGGAAAGAAGGAAGGCAUGAGCCUGCUAAAACUAUUAGGCCCAAAAUAGGGUUAACCCAACUCUAUUAAAGUAGGAGAGGGGAGAGGGAGGAAAAAACUGAAGUCCAGGCAGGAAGAAAAAAGCAAACAAGAGUCAGAAGUUGAACUCUACCAGAUGGAAAUAGAUAUUUUAGAGUUUAGUUGGUCAACAGUUGCCAUACCACUUAAAGAUAUAUGGAGCUAGCCAGAGAGGAGAAGCAAGAGGAUUGGUUACUGAGCUUGAUUUGAAAAGGUGAUUAAGACAUUAUUUCUUAUUAAUAUACAAUACUUAGUAGCCGUGCAUUCUGAAUCAGUCCUCUGAAGAUAAUGUUGUAGAAAGCACUAAGUCGUGAAAGUAUUGAUUUUCUUUGAUAAUAAAGUGAGACAACAAGUAACAUCUUUUUUUUUUUCCCCUGUGAAUCGUCAGGACUUCCUGAAAAUCAAAUGGAAUAGCAAAGUUUUGACUGGAGGCUUGUCUCACCAUUCCGGAAGAUAAAGAACCAAAAGUCUGUCCUUGUACUCAUGCUGUAGAGAAGCUUUACCGCCUCUCCAAACAUCAUCAGGACCUCCCUCAACCGAAAACGUUAAAAUCAGUUCAAGGACCGGGCAUGUUAAUACACACUCCCAGCACUCCAGAGCAGAUGUGGGCAGAUCUCUAUGAGUUCAAUGCCAGCUAAAGCUUCAUAGUUGAAUCCUUGUCUCAAAACAAAGCAGUCCAAGAAGCUAAGUGAAGUCUGCCUGUAAUUCCAUCCCAAGGCAGGAGACCUUGGGAUAGGCCUCAGUUGGUAGAAUGUUUACCUAUAGAGUACAGAAAACCUGGGUCAGAUCCCCAGCAGACACAUGCCUGUAAUUCCUGUCUCUGAGCUAGUAAAGGCAGCAAGACCAGGAAUCCAAGGCCAUCCUCAACUAAAUAGCUUUGGCAAGUCUGAGUAUGUGUAAGACCCUGAAAACAGUUGUGGCAUUAAAAUCAUAGGAUCUCUGUCAAAACAAGCUCAGGAAACAGACGUGUUUUGUUGUUGUUUGUUUGUUUGUUUGUUUUGUUUUGUUAAUUGGCAAAGAGCACAGACAUCAUGUUAGCAGUGGGGCUUUGAAGCUCGGGAAACACGUUCUAUAGGGAUAAUUAUCAGAUAACCAGAAUCCAAAGGGCUGUUCCUUUGUUAAAUGCUUUUAACCACAAAGAAAGAAAGAAAGAAAGAGAGAGAGAGAGAGAGAGAGAGAGAGAGAGAGAGAGAGAGAGAAAGGAAAGAAAGAAAAGAAAGAAAGAAAGAAAGAAAGAAAGAAAGAAAGAAAGAAAGAAAGGAAGGAAGGAAGAAAGAAAGAUAUAUUUACAUAGAGUAAGGGAAUGGAUUUCUCUGAUCUAUAGACUAUUACAUUUUGGAGACCAGCACAGUGUUGAAAACCUUUUUCAUUGGCUCAGGACUCCCAAGAACAAAUUCUCAACACAAAGAUUUAUUUGCCGCAGAGGGACAAAGGACUGGCUCUGGAUAGAGAGGUGGCCUAUAGGACAAUGACAGUUAAUAAAGGGAUGAGAUGUUUAAUUUUAAUUGGGCAUGCUAAUUAGGAGAGCCAAAGGGGGCUUUUGAUUGCUGGACUUCAAUACUUUGAGAGCUGGACCUUGGUAGUCAUCCUCAGGAGGAGGAAGAGGCCAAAUAAGGGAAUAGACCUUGGUGGCCAGCUUUAGGAAUAUAAUCUUAAUACUUUUUAAUAAGACAGGGGAAUUGGCAGAAGAGCACGACCUGCCAGAGCUAGAACCCCUUCACUCUCUACUGCGCUCAUGGAAGGAGAGGUGUGUGUGACAAACAAGAAAGUCGUCAAUUUCAAAAUAUGGCAUCAUGGUUUAGGGUUGCUGCUUGUACUUUUGAGAUGGAGGAGGUGGGAGGGGACUCUCUAUGUAACCUGUGCUGGCCGAAAAAUGGAUAAGUAGAACAGGCUGGCCUUGAACUCGGAAAUCUACCUGCCUCUCCCCCUCUGAAUGGGUAGGAUUAGAAGAUUGCACCACCACGCCCAGUGACAUCCUUGUCAAGGCCAACCUUGAAUUUCCUCACCUUGUUUAUCCAAAUGCUGUUUCCAAUAGUCUGUGUAUGAAGGUGACCUAAAUGUCCAUCAAGACAUGAAUGGAUAAAGAUGAUAUCAGCCACCUUCCCCCCAGUACCCCCUCACACAGAUCUUCCCCCAUUCUCUCCUUCCGUUCUCAGACUGAGGGCAUUCUCUCCCACUGAGGCCAGACAAGGUGGCCCAGCUAUGGGAGUGGGAUCCACAGGCAGGCAACAGACUCAGGGAUUCAGAGACAGCCCCCUUGCUUCGUUGUUCAGGAACCAGGAAAGCACGGUACUUUUUUGAGUGGAAUACUAUUCACCCAUUAAAAAGAAUAAAAUGGCUGUAAUACAGGACAACGUAAAUGACGCUGUGAGCCUUUUCUUGGAGAGAAGUAAGGAAACAUUUAAUCGAUCCAGAAAGGGCACUGGUGACAAGUUGAUAAAUGAUUCCAGCCAAAUCUAGCUUGUAAAAUAGUAAGUUUAAUGUAGAUUGCUUCCAGAGCAUGAGUAAGCAGUUGUCUAAAAGAUCAUGGGUGACUCAAUGGCAGCUUUGUCAUACAGAAGCUCAACCCAGCCUGACUGAUGACUAUCCCAAAACCAAAGCUCCAUCGAUGGAGCUCCUUGCAAGCCCCGCAUCCAAGCUGAUCUGCCCUUCUCUAGGAUUGUUAUUAUUGCUCAUAUAACCUUGAGGAGGGUCUUGAUAGUUUAUAUGUCUCAGCUUUAGAAAAGGUCAAAGGUUGUUUGCUUCCUUAGCCUUGUAAGUUUCAUGGACUUCCUGAAUCCUAAUUAGCCUCCCACCAGGAGGGAAUGUUUCAGAUGGCAGGAAAUAGCUACACAGCAGAUGAAAUUAGAUGCCAUUAUAUUAACUGAAAUAAGUCAGAAUUAGGCAAUUCUAGACUGGAAUUGCACAGGCUUAUAAUCCCAUCUACUCAGGAAGGUAAGACAGGAGGACUAUCCUAAAGUUGAGGCUAACCUGGGCUACAUGGUGCAUGCCAGGCCAGCCUUGGGUAACACACAAUACAGUAAGAUGAUAUCUCAGAAGGAAAAGUUGAGAGGACACAGCAGUUAGCAGAUGCUGGAAAGGAUAAAGAAAAUGGAAGAGUGGGGUUGGGGAUUUAGCUCAGUGGUAGAGCGCUUGCCUAGGAAGUGCAAGGCCCUGGGUUCGGUCCCCAGCUCCGAAAAAAAGAACCAAAAAAAAAAAAAAAAAAAAAAAAAAAAAAAAAAAAAGAAAA